AAACCAUGCAUUGGGUAUUUUCUAAUUAACUCCUUGAUUUGCUCCCAUGCUUCAUAUAAUGCUUCAUCCUUGGAUUGCCGAAAGGACAUAAUAUCAUUCCUUAGUUU
rnacentral:snoRNA from 1 species